GACGAACGCUGGCGGCGUGCUUAACACAUGCAAGUCGAACGAAGAGCGAUGGAAGCUUGCUUCUAUCAAUCUUAGUGGCGAACGGGUGAGUAACGCGUAAUCAACCUGCCCUUCAGAGGGGGACAACAGUUGGAAACGACUGCUAAUACCGCAUACGAUCUAAUCUCGGCAUCGAGGAAAGAUGAAAGGUGGCCUCUAUUUAUAAGCUAUCACUGAAGGAGGGGAUUGCGUCUGAUUAGCUAGUUGGAGGGGUAACGGCCCACCAAGGCGAUGAUCAGUAGCCGGUCUGAGAGGAUGAACGGCCACAUUGGGACUGAGACACGGCCCAGACUCCUACGGGAGGCAGCAGUGGGGAAUCUUCCGCAAUGGACGAAAGUCUGACGGAGCAACGCCGCGUGAGUGAUGACGGCCUUCGGGUUGUAAAGCUCUGUUAAUCGGGACGAAAGGCCUUCUUGCGAACAGUUAGAAGGAUUGACGGUACCGGAAUAGAAAGCCACGGCUAACUACGU
rnacentral:rRNA from 1 species